UUCUCUAUCAAAGAAGGUUUUCAGGAGACUA
rnacentral:piRNA from 1 species